GCCCCAGUAGCUCAGUGGAUAGAGCAGCCGCCUCCUAAGCGAAAGGUCGUAGGUUCGACUCCUACCUGGGGCACCA
rnacentral:tRNA from 2 species